rnacentral:lncRNA from 1 species
CAUCUCACAGAAAGCCAGAGGGGAGGACGUGGGGCUAUCAGUCCAACUCCUCAGUUAAUAGCCAGGGAAACAGAAGCCCAGGGAGAUAAAGACGGUGGCAGAGGAGGAAUUCUUUCUUAGCAGAUCUUCCAUUCCUAAUCCAGGAUCAUUUCCAGGGCUCCCAGAACUCUUACCAAAACAGGAAUAGAAGACAUAGGGUGCAACCAUUUCUCCAGGCUGAAACAGAGCCCCUGAGGAAGGAGCAAAUCUGAAGUUCCCCUGCACCCAGGGCUUUGAUUCAGAUAUUGUUGGAGAGAGCAUUGCAUGGCUCAUGACUCACUAGGUGGUGGAUAAGCUCAUUGAGGAGAAAUCUUUUGCCACAUUUGGAGAAAGGAUUGAAGAGAAAUGAGAGCCUGGAUGUGAAGAAAACAUUAGGAAGCUGCAGCAGUAACCUAUGUGAGAAAUUAAGAGAACCUAAAUCAGAUCCGUUGGCCAUCAAGAUUUCACUCAUUUUGAGACCUAGAGAUUGGUGCUCCUGGAGCUGUGAAAUGCGUGGCCUCUGUAGCCCUGUGAAGGUCUUGUUUCUAUGGCGAUACAAGAGAAAGUCUUUGCAGAGUUGUUGCAGCUGGAAGUCUUCACUUACUUUAAGAGCUCAUUAAAGCUAGUGGAGCCUUCCAAACCUGAAAUGAACUGCUCCUUACAGAACUGCCAAAAGGAAGAAAUAGAAAAGAAAAAAGAAGCAAUAGGUCCAAAAAGUCAAGAGAAGCUAUGCUGUACCCUCAACACUCUGCCUAGAGAUUUCUUCCAUGAAAUAUCCUAGUUCACAUCUGCCUCCUGCAAACUACUAGGACAUGGACACUGCUCAGCCAAGUUCUGUGCCAAUUUGUAACAAGAAUGGCCUUUCCUCCUAUUUCCAAUAAGGCCCCAUCAGCAGAGGGAGGAGAAGAGGAGAAGCAGCUGGACAUCAGAGACUAUGGUUGGACAUUGGAGAGAAGCAGCUUGACUUCAAAGGGACGGCUUGAUGGCAUUGCUUCGGAGAGGAGUUCAGCCAGGGACAGCUGGACUCUAGGGGAAUAUUAUCUUCCCACACCAUCCACUUUUCAGCUCCCCUUCCCACUGAGAACCACUUUCAUUGGCAAUAAAAUCCCCCACAUUUACC